rnacentral:rRNA from 1 species
UACGAAGGGGGCUAGCGUUGUUCGGAAUUACUGGGCGUAAAGCGCGCGUAGGCGGACUGACAAGUCGGGGGUGAAAUCCCGAGGCUCAACCUCGGAACUGCCUUCGAUACUGUCAGUCUUGAGGUCGGGAGAGGUGAGUGGAACUCCGAGUGUAGAGGUGAAAUUCGUAGAUAUCGGGAGGAACACCAGUGGCGAAGGCGGCCACCUGGACGGAUACUGACGCUGAGACGCGAAAGCGUGGGUAGCAAACAGG